CCAAAGUCAUGGUUAAGUGGGAAACGAUGUGGGAAGGCCCAGACAGCCAGGAUGUUGGCUUAGAAGCAGCCAUCAUUUAAAGAAAGCGUAAUAGCUCACUGGUCGAGUCGGCCUGCGCGGAAGAUGUAACGGGGCUAAACCAUGCACCGAAGCUGCGGCAGCGACGCUUAUGCGUUGUUGGGUAGGGGAGCGUUCUGUAAGCCUGCGAAGGUGUGCUGUGAGGCAUGCUGGAGGUAUCAGAAGUGCGAAUGCUGACAUAAGUAACGAUAAAGCGGGUGAAAAGCCCGCUCGCCGGAAGACCAAGGGUUCCUGUCCAACGUUAAUCGGGGCAGGGUGAGUCGACCCCUAAGGCGAGGCCGAAAGGCGUAGUCGAUGGGAAACAGGUUAAUAUUCCUGUACUUGGUGUUACUGCGAAGGGGGGACGGAGAAGGCUAUGUUGGCCGGGCGACGGUUGUCCCGGUUUAAGCGUGUAGGCUGGUUUUCCAGGCAAAUCCGGAAAAUCAAGGCUGAGGCGUGAUGACGAGGCACUACGGUGCUGAAGCAACAAAUGCCCUGCUUCCAGGAAAAGCCUCUAAGCAUCAGGUAACAUCAAAUCGUACCCCAAACCGACACAGGUGGUCAGGUAGAGAAUACCAAGGCGCUUGAGAGAACUCGGGUGAAGGAACUAGGCAAAAUGGUGCCGUAACUUCGGGAGAAGG
rnacentral:rRNA from 1 species